AUAUAAGCCACACACACCCUGCCAAACUAUAUUGCAUAGGUAGUCCUAGAGAGAGAUAUUUAAGAAUUACUCAAUAACCAGGAAACAGAAAGACAAAACCUAUAUAUCCCCUAAUAAAUGAUAAACCACAUACAACUUGCAAUGCAAUUCACAAAUGACCAACACGCUCCAAAAACCAGAGCGAUUCAUAGUAAAUACGUUCCCUUGUGGUUUUGCUGCGAUACAGAGAGAGAGGAGACAGGCAGAACAGCGCUGCCUCUUGUGUGUGGGAAUAAAUAACCGGGCUUUUAUGAUGGGAAUGAAAGCAGCGAUCGGCCAGUGCCCAGACAUUUCUCAUUUGUUCAGUCUGUCACACGGGGACUAGAAGGGGUUUUGGUGCAAAUUCAUUAUCUGUGCCAAUAGUGGGAGCUGAAAGGGACCGUGGCAAUGGGCGGACAAUGGGGCUUCAGUUCAUCACUAACAAAAGAAUUAGGAGAAAUUGUUGGAUUUCUAAGCACGUCCUCCUCCUCAGCAGAGAGGGCUGGUCUCGUCCUUGGCCAUUCCCCCCAAAAACUUGCAGACCCCUUCAGUGAAGCACUUCACUCUCUACUCAAGGCUUAUUAAUCCUCUCUCUCAUGGGAUUUUUAUUUAUUUAUUUUUUUCAUUUUUAUUUUUUUUUACCCAUAAAUAUCUGGAAAUAAUUCGCAGCGAAAUUUGAAAAAUGGACCAAACAAGAAUAUAUCCGACGGGAUUAUUUGUUUCUUUGAGCUGUGGGCAGAUGAAGGGCAUAACUUGUGUGUCAGUCGUUAUUGGGGAAGGUGCUGCUGUGGCUUCUUUUUGGUGCAAGUAAAAAUGAAGAAGAUAUUUUACUGAGCACAUGCUUGGAUGUGAUUGUUGCCGGCCCUCUGGAUCUCACAUAGCAGACCGGUGGCAGCACCAACAGCAGCAGCAGCAACAGCAACAGCAGCAGCAACAUCUCCCACUUCUCCACCCCCUCCAUACGAGUCCUGCGAGGAGCUACCCCCUAAACACACGCACACGAGAUGUUUGACACCGUUUGGGCAGAAGCAUGAGGAAAAAUAAAGCCGUGCCAUGAAUAAUACGGAAGGAUCAGACCAUUGAAUCAUCUUGUCACUUUGGACUGGAAUUAGAUUUCUUCCUGCGGCUGAGCUGCUCAGGAACACAAGCCUUUACAUCUUCCUAAUGCUUGAGGAGUCUUGGGUGAGAAUGAAGCAAUUUACAUUGCAAAUAGAGGCCUGGGAAGAGAUGGAGGCUGAUCAGUGCAUCUUGGGAGCUGUUUGUGUUUUCUCAUGUCUGGCACAACAAUUUGGUGAUAAUUUCUGCUCUCGGAAUAACUCGCCAGGAGCAAAGUUGGGGAUAAACUUUAAAGGCAACAGACCUCAUUGGAUUCUUAUUAUGUUGAUGACUCACAUUGGAAAGGGGAAAUCAGUGGCACUGGACUCCAGGCUGUACAUUGAGGGGGAUGUGGAUGUUCCAGCAGGAUCAGUGUGUGUGGGAAGUGGUUGUUAUCUUUGGUUAUCUAGCUGUAUGAGUUUAUUGGUUUCAUAAAGCUAGAUAACCGAAAGUAAAAACUCCUUCCAGAUCUUCACAUCGCACAUAAGGAAUAUACCGCCCAAAUGACUGUGCCGAGCAAAUGAAUGCCUUUAUCUAGACUGCUAAUUCUCAUGCUGAAGGGAUUGUAUUGCCUUACAUUUAAACACAUGCAACAGAGCACGGAUUUCAAUCAUGCUGCUGGGCUUGUUACCAAAGCCAUCAAAUCCUCCAUGGGAAAAAUGGUGCUGGUGGUAAUGUAUGUGCAAGUUUUGAUGUUCAGCCUAUAAUGUGUUAACUCUGUAUUGUUCCUACUCGCAUAACUCUGAUGUGAGCCUACAGACAUGUACGAGGCACUCAGGACCCAAUCUGAAAUUGUAUUGAGUAAAAGGUUAUGGGAACAUUUAAAAACGGAGGCUUGCUGAAGAAGGUCUCAGCUGGCGGUCGAAACGUUAAAGCUAAUCUGUCAGUGAAAAUGCUCUCGCCUUUAUUAAACCCCAUGAGUACA